GCGUGCUGCAGGAUGGAGGUGAACUUGGAGAACAUCCUGUCCCGCGACUGCAGCAGCCGCUGCCGGGAGGACCUCGAGAGCUCCUCGAUCCGCCGCCGCCGCCGCUCCAGGGCAUGGAGAGCUACAGCCCAAAUACUCUGUGGAAGUAAAUAGUACUUGUAUGUGGACACCUUUGUUGCAGUUGUUAAAGAGCAGAGCUAUUUCCUUCACAAAAUCCAGAAGUCUCAAUAUGUUGAUAUCAAUUUAAAAGGUAAAUAUUAACUGGACAGAUGCUGCAUUUGGAAGGUGCCUGCACAUCUGUGUCUAAGAGAACAUGCUCAUUUAAGAUGCUUUUGGAGUCUGUUUUUCCUGCAAAAAUAUCUUUUAAAUGUGCUUAGGCUUUCCCAUCUCCGAGCAGCAGAAUGAAUAAAGAAACAGUAAGAUAUCAUGAAGAUAUAAAAGGAGACAGUUCUAUAACUGGGAGAGUAUUCCUAAUUGUACUUAACAAUUUAUGAAAUCAUAACUCACAGAAUCACAGAUGGUGAGGUAAAGCUUUUGUAAUGCUUGAGGGCCUCUUAUUAUUCUAAGACUGACUGAUGUAUAUAAAUGCAUUAUUAUUUAAACAGAACAGUUCAUUGUGGUUGAAAUUAAGAUUUUGGUUGUAAAAGUGACUUCUUACUAAGACUUCUCAAUGUGAAAUGCCUUGCAGUAAAGUGAAAAAGAAAAAAAUAUUACAUGCAAAUUAUUUUUCCUAAGCCUAUUAAACAAAUUGAAUCUCUGCAUAUAACCCUGCAUUUACCAACCAAUUGAUUUGGCUUGAAUCUGUAGCUAUAGUGCAGAAUCCAGUCUUUGGUGCUUAUAUGUUUUGCAAGUUGUAGAUAUAUUUUUAUUGAUGAUCUUUUAAAGUUGUUUCUAAUUUCUCAACCAUAUGUAUGUAUUUCUCACUGCUGGGAAUAUUGGAUAAAUACUGGCAAACCAGUAGUAGUGCAAAUCACUGGAAACUAAUGGAAAAAAUAUUUCACCAGUGUCAGUGCAGAAGAACUCAGCUGAGGUUACAUUUUGUUUGGAUUCUUCUUGUUCUUAUUAGGGAGGAUUCAAUUGGAGAUGAUGCAGUUAUGGAUGGGCUACCAAUGUCAUGUCAUGUGCAACAAUACAUCUUCAGCUGCUCAUGCUUGAUGUUGUUUCCACUGAAAUAAACACAAGUAUUACUAACUGUUUUAGUACCCCUGAGAGCACAGUUCUGCUGGCUUGGGGUUGGGGUGGUUUUUUUGGCAAGGUAGUUCUUUUUUUGGAAAAGUGCAUGCAGUGAAUUAGUGUUUUGCUUGAAUGUGAGAAAUGAAAGUGUGAAAGUGAAGCUGUUCUAAUUGAUAGAGCUUUUGGGAACUUUCUUCUUUCUUACAAAUUAAUGAAAUUGUCUAGAUUAAAUCAAUUUAGAUGGUGUGUGACUGUGAGAUAAUAUGCUGGCCUUUCUAUCUGAAAAUCUCUCUGCUAUUUGGAUUGAUGGCACCGGGCCAGUGUCUAAUGGAUGCAUUUGUCUACAUUACAGAAGAAGUUCCUGCAGUCUGGACUUUUGCUUCAGAGAGCCUGAAGAUUUGGUGAAUUUUUUUCACCCUAGAUAAAAACUUUCCUGUUAGUGCUAUACCAAAAAUCUGUUGAUAUUCUGUGCAGAAUUUUAUUGUGUUUGUAAUAAUCAGAUUGACAUCUGUGUUUUCAGUGACUACUUGAAUGAAAUAAAGAAUGAAGUUUUA